rnacentral:rRNA from 1 species
ACCCGUCUUGAAACACGGACCAAGGAGUCUAGCAUGUGCGCGAGUCAUUGGGAACUAGUAAACCCAGAGGCGCAAUGAAAGUGAAAAGCGUCGGUUUCGGCCGACCGCAGGGAAGAUGUCGUACGGCGUGCCCGUACGUCCGCAUUCCCGAGGCGUUUCGAGAAAUGCCUCCGUUGCGAUUAUCGAGACGCACUGAGAGCGCACACGCUGGGACCCGAAAGAUGGUGAACUAUGCCUGGUCAGGUCGAAGUCAGGGGA